UACGAAGGGUGCAAACGUUGCUCGGAAUUAUUGGGCGUAAAGCGCACGUAGGCGGCUUGGCAAGUCGGAUGUGAAAGCCCUCGGCUCAACUGAGGAAGUGCACCCGAAACUGGCGAGCUUGAGUACGAAAGAGGAUCGCGGAAUUCCCGGUGUAGAGGUGAAAUUCGUAGAUAUCGGGAGGAACACCGGUGGCGAAGGCG
rnacentral:rRNA from 1 species